ensembl:lncRNA
AGACAGAGAAGCGUCGUUGGCCACAUCAUCUGUCUCAGCUCACCUUUGCUUAUAAUGUUACCCCCCACCAGACCACAGGGCAUACCCCAUAUUAUCUGAUGUUUGGCCAUCAUCCAAGACUGCCGGUUGAUUUUUUUGCUUGGUACUAGGGAGGCUGUCCCAGACACCAACAGAAGAAUGGGUUGAAAAGCACCAGCAAAGCGUCAGGAUGACUCAUGAACACGUCAGACAGAGAUCAGAAGAACUGGCCCUCAGGCGUAAUCAGAGCCAUAAUGAGCAGGUGAACGAUGCCGGAUUCAAAGAAGGGGAUUUGAUCUAUCUGCGGAAUCACCCAUGUGGGAGAAAUAAAAUUCAGGAUUACUGGAACUCUGUGGUCUAUCGAGUGGUACGCUGCCCUUCUGGGGCAGGAGCGGUAUAUACGGUGAUCUCUGCAGAUGCAGGUGGACCUGUUCGACAGGUGCAUCGUUCUGAGAUGCGUAUCGUUCCUGCGGGAUUGAGGUUUGGGCCAGGUGGGUUCCCUGGUCCAGCUCGGGGAGAGGAGACCCCCAAAGAUCCUCUGGCUGGGGACGAUGGUGAUGCCCGAGACGGGAUCUUAUGGUAUGGUGCUGAACCAGAGCCCCAAGCUGUACCUGCUUUAACCGGCACCUUAGCAGUGGGGGAAAUGGACGCUGAAGAUACAGCUGAGGUGCCUGAGGACAAUACGGUGGCCAUGCGCCGUUCAGCGAGGUCUACAGCAGGACAGCAUUCCAAUCCUUACCAUCUACCCCGGUCGACUAGUGGCAUAAAUUAUGAUUCAUCAGGAAUAGAGGGUGAAGUCUCCCGGACAUGAGGUAUCAUCGUCGGGCCGCCGAUUCAUUUGGAGGGGGUGGAUUGUAGCCUGUGAGUUCGAGGCAUUUUAUGUUGCCCUCUCUCUUUUUCCUCUGUCACUGCUUUCGAUCCCUUUUUACUCCCUCUCGGGUUGCUAUGGUACCUAAUGUGGGUGGGAGUGGUCGGAAAUUGAGAACAGGCAGGUUUAUAGGCACCUGGGGUCCUCAUGCCGGGAGCGAUACACUGUAGUUAGCUGCUAACAUGUCAGAGUGCAGCAGGGCUGCAGAGUGUUUGCCAACGGCGUUAUUGUUUGUGUGUGUGCAUGCUUCCGAAACAACACGUUUGGAAUGCCUAGACUGACGAGCACAGAGGAGUGCUCUGUGACCCUGGGGAGAUUGUGAAGUGCCGGAACACGGUCUGCUCACCCAAUCGCUAGAUUGUAGGCAGAGGCUGCCAAAAUACGAUUGUCGGCUGCUGUUCUCUUGAAUGUGUGUAGAGGUGUAAAUGUGUAUGAAUGUACAGGUGCUGUGUUUUUUUGGUUAGACACGUUUCCAAUUUGUUUUUUUUCUUUAUAUUUUUUUUUCCCCUUUUCCCGCUACCCGGUGGGUUGUGAAAGAUUGGUGUUCGUGAACUGAUUGUGACCACCGGCUAGCGGUUUCUUUUCUUUUUUUUGUUGUUGUUUGUUCCUUCCCCCUCCCUAGUCAUAGUC